CCUACGGGAGGCAGCAGUGAGGAAUAUUGGUCAAUGGACGAGAGUCUGAACCAGCCAAGUCGCGUGAAGGAUUACUGCCCUAUGGGUUGUAAACUUCUUUUAUAAAGGAAUAAAACGAGGCACGUUUCCCUUUUUGCAUUUACUUUAUGAAUAAGGAUCGGCUAACUCCGUGCCAGCAGCCGCGGUAAUACGGAGGAGCCGAGCGUUUUCCGGAUUUAUUGGUUUUAAAGGGAGCGUAGAGGGGUUGUUAAGUCAGUUGUGAAAGUUUGCGGCUCAACCGUAAAAUUGCAAUUGAUACUGGCAGUCUUGAGUACAGUGAAGGUAGGCGGAAUUCGUGGUGUAGCGGUGAAAUGCUUAGAUAUCACG
rnacentral:rRNA from 1 species